rnacentral:rRNA from 1 species
GACGAACGCUGGCGGCGUGCUUAACACAUGCAAGUCGAACGGAAAGGCCCGGCUUUUGUGGGUUGCUCGAGUGGCGAACGGGUGAGUAACACGUGAGUAACCUGCCCUUGACUUUGGGAGAACUUCAGGAAACUGGGGCUAAUAUCGGAUAGGAGCUCCUGAUGCAUGGGGGGGGAUGGAAAGUUACGGCCGUUGGGGAUGGUAUCGCGGCUUACCCGCUUGUUGGUGGGGUUGUGGCUUUCCAGGGCUUUGACGGGUAGCCGGCCUUGGAGGGUGGCCGGCCACCAUGGGCCUGCGGUACGGCCCAGAAUCCUACGGGACGCAGUAGUGGGAAACAUUGCGCAACGGGCGGGAGCGUGUUGCGGCAACGCUCCGUGCGUAAUGCCCGCCUACGGGUUAUGAACAGCUUUCGCAUGUGCCGAAGCGUUAGUGACGGUAAUGGGUAAAGAAGCACCGGCUAACUACGUG